CUGCUCCUCAUUGCACUGCUGCUCACUGCACUGCCCCUUAUUGCACUGCUCACUGCACUGCUCCUCAUGCUGCUGCUUACUGCACUGCUCCUUACUGCACUGCU
rnacentral:lncRNA from 1 species